AUUACUUGAUGUUGUUUCAGUAUUCAACAUGGUUUCUUAUCUCUCCCAGAAGAAGCACUAUAUAAAGAUAAACCAGGAAGGAAUUGAGGUCUUCAGGGAGUUUUAUCCAACCAAUGAGGAAUUUGUCACCCUAGAGUGUGUAUGGAAAUCAGAUAAGUUUAUAUUACUUGAGAGAAUGCAUAAGAGCAAGACUGGAAGUGAUCAAGAAGGUGAUCUUAAUGAGAGGCUUCUUUAGGAGCGUUGACUGUAAAGUAUCAAAGUAUUGAGUCUUUUCUUGGAGAUGAUGAACUUGUUCCCGAUAGUGGGGAUGCAGACCAAAUAAGAAGGUCCAUCACACAUCAAGGACGACAAGACUGAUUUGCUGGCAGACCCUUUCAUGGAGAUUGGCAAAGGGAAGGCAGUCGAAGGUUGUACAGACGUAGGAGAUGGUUUUGUCGAUGCAACAACUAUCCCUAGCAAGAAACUCCUGCAGGAAGGUGGUUUGCUUGCAGACUCAAAGUUGUCAAAUUCUUUGAAAAUUAACACUGGAUCAAGAAAAGUAGCUUUUGUCUCAGUGAAAAAACCUCCAGCAUUGAUGGUGGAUGUGAAAAAUCCUCCACUACCCGCCACAACCAAUGGUGGUGUGAAGGAAGAUCCAUUUUUCAGUUUGCUUACUGGUGGAAAUAUGAGACGUCUCUUGGCUUGGUGUGUGAAUGUGUGAAGUUUUUGCUGCUUCACUACCUGAAAACAAUUUCAUGCACAUCAAAGAGGCGCAGAGUAAGCCCCACACGAAAUCAACAACGAAAUCAAGAGCCGACAAAAAAAAGGAAAACAUAAGUCACCGUCCAACUUCAAGCACGCAAAAGCAGCAGCCCGCAAGAGAAUCCUCUCCUCCUUUUGCUAAGUUGUUACAAUGUGGCAGGCAGUCCACUGUGUUGUCUGUGUUGCAGAUGUUUUCGUUUUGAAGAAUCCAUAGCUGUCCACUGAAACUGUUCUCUGUCCAGGUAACUUUAGCUCCCAUCUUAUCAGGUUUAUGCUUGGUUGGGUUUAAUUUGAGUCUGUUCUUUCUUUUAUAUGAUAGUUAGGUGUUUAAUGUCGUUUUGAAAUAUGGGUUUUUGUUUGUUCAAGUGUAAUUCCUCCCGGAAUUGAAGUUUGGAUUCAAGUGGGAUUGAUUGCUCUCUGAUUUUCAGAUUUCUCUUGUUUGUAAGCAAUUGUAAAUUGGUAACUACCCAACUAUUCAGCCCAUUA